rnacentral:rRNA from 1 species
UACGUAGGGGGCAAGCGUUGUCCGGAAUCAUUGGGCGUAAAGAGCGCGUAGGCGGCCCUGUAAGUCCGCUGUGAAAGUCAAGGGCUCAACCCUUGGAUGCCGGUGGAUACUGCAGGGCUAGAGUCCGGAAGAGGCGAGUGGAAUUCCUGGUGUAGCGGUGGAAUGCGCAGAUAUCAGUAAGAACACCCGUGGCGAAGGCGGCUCUCUGGAACGCAACUGACGCUGAGACGCGAAAGCGUGGGGAGCAAACAGG